UGAAAACCUAAUCGCCAAUCCCCUUCCGUCCUCGCAUCUCGCCCACUUUCUCCUCCCUUCGCCGCCGCCUCCUCUCCUCGCCUCUUCCCAUGCUCUACACCACCACCACCACCACCACCACCACCACCACGCCCCUGCUCCUACACCGCCUCGCCGCCGGCCGUCUCUGCGCCUGUUCGUCUGCCCCCUCGGAAGGCACCGAGUUGCGGCCAGCCCGUGCUCAGCCUCCGCCCAUGCGCUCGAGAAGAAGAGAGGGGCAGCCGCAGGGUAGGAGCAGCCACAACAGUCGCCAGUGCUGCCUCAUCUACCGCCCUUCACGCCACCAUCCAUCCACCCGGUGAACUGGAGAGGCAGAUGAUGAGCGUCGCCUCGUAUCUUGGGGCUGGAUCCCGAUUCUGCCGCUCCACGGCAUGCCGUCCGCCUUUUCCUCCACCUUGUGUGGCUGCUCUGGUCAACCUCUUCCUCAUCGUAGGUGCUCAACAGGAGAAGCGCGAGCAGCCGGUGCAGCCGAGAGUUCGCCUGGUUGCAGCUCGACUUCAGCCAACAUCAGCCUUUGUUGCUGUUACUGUCCCAUUUUGAGAACCAAAGAAAUACUGCCUUUCAGCUAGAUGUGUGUUAGGUGAAUGCUGCAGGCCAUUUUGUUCAUUGGCCCGGCAUGAUUUGGAUUGCAUCACCUACAGAGGUCUGUGUGAUUGAUGAGCUGGCUUAGGAAGGCACAGUCGAUUAUUAUUGCCUAUUUCUCCAUUGAAAGCUGCUGCUACUUUCAUCUUGGAAGUAGGAUAUGCAUUUGAUCCAGUCCAUGUCUUGGUCUCUUUUUGAAGUGUGUUUAGCCAUGUUCUUCCUACAUGUGUUCAAUCCAUCGGUAGCUAGCGGAUGUUGUGCUGUGACAAAGGUGCACUCCAGGAAAAAAUUAUUCUGCAAAGAAUCUUUAUCAACAAAGCGCAUAGGGAAGAUUGUCAGUGUCAGCGACCAAUUAUUUUGUUCAGCAGGUGUUCCCUUCAAAUGAGGCUCCAGCAAGGGGAUGCUAGCAGAUAUCAACCGGUUGGUUGAAUGUGUGCACAUUCUGUAAAGUCAACUUAAAGCUUCAGCAAGUGUGUUCAUUGUCCUCUCCAUUUCAAACAAACCAUCAGCUGGUUCUUUAAUAUUUUAUUACUUAAUCAUACUGUAGAAUUUGUUUCUUGGUGAUCUAAAACUUAUAGCCAUUAAGGGAAGCCCUUGGUUUGUAUUAGGUACUUGUGCCAUUGGGUGGAACUGUAUGAAAAAUAGUGAGAGAAUGCUGGUAGAAAUUAGCAGUAAUGUAAUUACAUAGAGAGAAGGUACUCACAUGUCACAUCAUAUUUCCCCAUGCUCCUCUUCAAUUGCAACAACUAUUGAAUUUA
rnacentral:rRNA from 1 species